ACACCAGUCAUUGGGGAGUAGCCUGUUCCAGAAGACUUCUGGAAAAUUCGUAUCAACAUACUCGUUUGCAUAAAACGUGGUACGAAUGCCAAAUCGGUUGGCAAGACCAUAGACACAUAACGUCACCAUUGGUUGGGGGUGAUUUAUGUGUAUGUGGAAUCACCCAACCGAGGU
rnacentral:sRNA from 2 species